GCACCAAUGGUGUAGUGGUAUCCGGCAAGGUUCCCGUUCUUGUGAACCAGGUACAAUUCCAGCUGGUGCA